rnacentral:ncRNA from 2 species
CGGGAUAUAUUUCCGGCUGGUGCCCGCUUGGGCGGGAGAAUAGGGAAUACGGUGCGAAUCCGUAACGUUGGGCCGACGCUGUCAGCGGGGACCGCGACCGCAUAAAGCCACUGCCUCCAGGCGGGAAGGCGCGGUCACGGGCUGAUCCGCAAGUCAGAAGACCUGCCAGUCCGGGACACCAGGA